rnacentral:rRNA from 1 species
GCUGACGACCGGCGAACGGGUGCGUAACGCGUAUAGAAUCUACCUCUUACUAAGGGAUAGCCCAGAGAAAUUUGGAUUAAUAUCUUAUAGUAUAUAGACUUGGCAUCAAGAUUAUAUUAAAGGUUACGGUAAGAGAUGACUAUGCGUCCUAUUAGCUAGAUGGUGUGGUAACGGCACACCAUGGCGACGAUAGGUAGGGGCCCUGAGAGGGGGAUCCCCCACACUGGUACUGAGACACGGACCAGACUCCUACGGGAGGCAGCAGUGAGGAAUAUUGGACAAUGGAGGCAACUCUGAUCCAGCCAUGCCGCGUGCAGGAAGACUGCCCUAUGGGUUGUAAACUGCUUUUAUACAGGAAGAAACACUCUCACGUGUGAGAGCUUGACGGUACUGUAAGAAUAAGGAUCGGCUAACUCCGUGCCAGCAGCCGCGGUAAUACGGAGGAUCCAAGCGUUAUCCGGAAUCAUUGGGUUUAAAGGGUCCGUAGGUGGAUGAUUAAGUCAGAGGUGAAAUCCUGCAGCUCAACUGUAGAAUUGCCUUUGAUACUGGUUAUCUUGAGUUAUUAUGAAGUAGUUAGAAUAUGUAGUGUAGCGGUGAAAUGCAUAGAUAUUACAUAGAAUACCAAUUGCGAAGGCAGAUUACUAAUAAUAUACUGACACUGAUGGACGAAAGCGUGGGGAGCGAACAGGAUUAGAUACCCUGGUAGUCCACGCCGUAAACGAUGGUCACUAGCUGUUCGAAUUUCGGUUUG